UUACACAAUAGCAUGAAUACAGACACUGGAAAUAAAAAAGCACCAUGUUUCGCACAACAACAUUUCAUGUUUAAAAAGGUCAGGAUUGCACAAACAUGUGUUUAAUAUUAAACCAAUUUUGAACUCUUCAGGUGUUGCAGGUAAUAACAAAUAUUCGUAUGAUACAAAUCAUGAGGGAAAGCAGCACAAUAAUUAUACAGAUUGGAGAACGUAAGCAUUUCUUCAUUUAGUUAGAAUCUAUUUUAUAAUAAAUGCUCUGAGUAACUUCAGGUUUUGAAAUUUGCGGUAUCCCAUGUUAAAAAACAGAAAGUACAUCAACUGCCGUGCAUGUGGUGGUGUAUAAUUUUUUGCAGGUGAAUACCGGACGGAAAUGUUUUAAAAGCAUUUGAAAUAAACAAGCAUGUGAUUCUCCCAUUUUGGUACGUAAGUGAAUCUCCAAUUCAUUCUUCUAAUCAACAAUAGCACCAAUCACUACAAACUGCUCGAUUUUACUGGUCGAGCACAAAAACUGGUCAAUUCAGACGCUGAGCAGUUGUAGUGAAUGUACCUUCAUCUAUUUCGCCGAAGUCAGAGUAUUGUUCUAAAAGUAGAUUUGUUUUGCAUGAAUCCAUUGUCCACCGAAAUUACUUAUAGUUUAACGUUUAACCUACAAACAUUUUUUAAAACGUACAACAAAUUCAGGGUUUGAUUUUACUAGUGUCUUCUUUCAAUUAUAAAAGUAUUCUUCAGACCAUACAUGCUGCGACUCAAAUAUGGUUAAAAUAUACAUGAACUUAUAACUAUAUAUUCUAAAAUCGCCUUAUCAUGCUUAUUAUAUACUAUUGUCAAUAUCAAUACCCACACAUUAUUUAGUUAUCGAUUUCAAAACGAUUAGAAUGGUUUGUUAUAAAUUGUGUAAAUACCGAAGUACUGACUACUAGACUAAGGUUGAUGCUACCCUUGGGGACUGACAUAUUAUAAUAGCAGGAUUGUUUUUAUCAUAUUGAUUUAAUUUUUAAGUACUUUCAAUUUUUGUUUGGGGCGGUAGAGGGCGUUGUUAACCCAUUCAAUAAACGUUCUUCGUUCGACAUUUCUAAAUAAAACAUAAAUACAAUACAAUAUAAGUAUGAAAAUAUUAAGUGGUAUACUUAUAAAGCCAAACUAACAUAUAAAACGACAACAACCGUUAAACAAUAUUAUGAAAUAAAGUUGUCUUAUACAUGUUAUAUACAAAGAAGAAAAUAGUAACAUCGAUGAUUCUAUUUAUGAAAACAAGGUAAAGACAUAUGCUAGAUAAGAUGUUGAACAAUGCAGUUAAUACAUAUAGUGUAAACAAUUUGAAAUGCAUUACACUAUCCAAUUUCAUUAGCUACAUAUGUAUCCAUUAAAGAUAACAUAUUUUUUUCUAUAAUAAAGAAACAUACACAUACAACUAAGUGCAACAGCAUUGAUUUAUAAUCUUGUAUUCAUAUAAUGUAAACAAAACACAUACAAAUGUAUAUACACACAUGCACAUUUUAGUGUUAUUUAUUGAAAAUGAAACUGGAACUUGAAUAUUUAAUGUCUCAUAAUAAAAUAAUAUCAAAUUUGAGAAGGGUAACAGAAUGCAUGAAAGAAGGUCAAAAUAUACUAAAAAGACAUUCAAACUCAUAGAUCGAAAAUAAACCGACUACGCCAUGCCUAAAAACGAAAUAAAUAACAAACAAAUGAUAGUACACAAGACUCAAUAUAGAAAAACUAUUGACUAGGCAACUCGAACCCACUAAACACUGUGGGUGAUCUCAGGUGCCCCGGAAGGAUAAGCAGACCAUGUUCCACAUGUAGAACCCGUCGUGUUCGUCAUGUUAAAACAAACACGUAAAUAGUAUAAUUCGGUAGGUCAUAUUCGUGAAAGAGGAAUGGGAUUGUAGUAAGUACUUAAGGAACAUAUACGAUAACAUAAUUUUCCUGUAAGAAUUUAUAAGCUGUGCAAAUAUACUACAUGAACAUGUAUAUAUUCUUUUUGUUUUGCAUAAGAGUAUGCACAUUCUCAAUUUUAAACGCACCUGUAUGUAUAGAAGUAUACUUAUGCAUACACUACAAAGUAAAUCCGAAACCUCAAUAAUGUACUUUUCAAAAGUAUAUAGGAACCAGUGACCUGUGACCAAGUUAGAGUUAUAGCUAUUUCAUAAUUUAAAGACAACAAUGGGUAUUAUAAGGUCUAAAAAAUUGCACGGCCUUUACACGUAUACUUUCAGUCAGAACUUUUGUUUUAUCUCGAUUUGCAAAAGUUAAUACCCUCGGUGACUAAUAGUCCAUCAGCAGAGGCAUCGACCCAGUGCUAGUAAUAAAAUUAACGGUACCAAUUUUCCUGCACCAGAUGCGCAUUUCGACAAUACAUUUCUCUUCAGUGAUACUCGUGGCCAAAUUAUUUGAAUUCCAAAGCUUAUAUAAAAGGUGAAGAGCUAUAAACCAAAAGUUAUUGUACUUGUGAACUAGUUGUUUGGUUCAUUCACUAUUUCAAAAAAGUCUGUUAGAAAAUAUAUACGUGUAUGUUUAUGUAAAUAUAUAUGGUUUCUCUCUAACUGUACACAAUUCCAUUUUAUCUGGGAAGUACUGUCAAAGAAAGCACAAGUCAGAGUGUACAGAAAUAUAUUAUAAAAUGUUGAGGUCAUUUUUACAUAUUUUUGUUAGUCAUGUUUAUAUUAUUGAACAUUUUAUACUAAUAUGUACGUUUUUAUAUGGCCAAUAAUAGCCAGAAGUCAUUGUUGAUUAUUAGCCCUUGGGGCCAAUAUCGGUAUCUGCCAUCGAAAUCCUUAUCGAGCCCCCGAAUUUGACUAUCGGUACAAACCUGUCAAUCAAAAACAAUUUGUAAACAAAAUGUCAUCUAAGCAGCUAGCCGACUAGGAGACGUUUCUCCGGGUAACAAAUGACGUUUCAAGUAAAUUGAUACAAGAAAUGAAAAAUGAGAAUACUAUGAAUAAAAACAAUGAAGUAUGUAAUACAAUAGAAAGUUAUGAAUCUGCUGUAGCAGAAAAAAAAAUAAAAAUCACCAGUGAAAUAAGUUAUGUGUCCUCCAUUACCGUACAUCACUAAAGAUCCCGUUUAAUUUUGACGUCAUAAUAGAAAAUAUAUGACGCCACAAUGGAAAAGUGCUUUGUUUUCUCACUGAGUUACGAAUUUUGUUAACUCACUUUGUUAACUCACUCUCAGAUGCCAUGUAACAAUCUAUAAUUAUCGCACGGUGUUCCUCGUUGAAUUGAUUGAUUGAUUGUUUGUUGCUUUACGCCGUUGGGCAAAUCUGAGGUAAAGACAUCUACCACUUAGAAGGGCAAUAACAUUUUGAAAUGUUUAGAUAUUGCCAUGUACAGUAAAUACAAUUUCACUUAUUUUCUAUAUAUGCGCUUGAAAAACGAUUUUUUCUUACCAAUUAUCUUAAAAAUGUGUAUUUUUAACGUGUUGUUUUUUUUUUUGUCAACAUGCUGUACCGGAAGUUCAGAACGGAUAGUGAAAGUAUAGAGAAACAUUAUAAUGAUUUUGUAUUCCGUAAAAACAUGAAAAAAUAAAUUGAAUUAGGUAUUUCACGUCCAGAUAAUAAUGGCUACAAUAUAUACAGAAUACGCCUUAAACUCGGGUUGAUCUCAGAUGCUCCGGAAGGGUAAAUAUCUCCUGCUCCACAUGUGACAUCCGUCGUGUCGCUCGUGUUAUAACAAACCCGGAAAAUAGUCUAAUACGGUAGGUAGCAUUCGUAAAGAGGGAACGGGAUUGUUGAAAGAACAAAUCUGAUAUCAUCUGUGGAAAGAAUAUUCCGUAACGGUAAACAAACUCGUGAUGGCGUUCAUUUAAAAAUAUACGAAUGAAUGAUUUCAACUUCACCAUUUGGAACCCGUCGUUUAUUACUUUCCUUUUUGGCAGCAAUCCUCUACCAAGGAAAUGAUAAUAUGAAAUAUCGGGAAAUAGAUACUCCGUAUGCAGGUGCUGAAGGAAUGUUGCCACAUAGAAAUGGAAAGUUCACAUAGAAUAAUUGCAUACAUAUUCUAUUAGCUUUAAGGCCAGAGUGUUAACCCAAAAUAGCAUAGUGACGUUGUGAAAUUUCAAAUUUUGAAUGUAGUUUAACGAUUACACUCCAAUGUCGCCCCAAUUUCAUACAAUUCCAAAACCGGGAUUAGUGUAAAGCUUGAUGAUGGAAAAGUUUUUUAUCCUAUACCUUGUGUUUUUUUUUUUUAUUUCAGAAAGCAUUAUCUUAUAAUGUAUGGGCUCACAAUAGGAACUACCGUGGGUGUAUUAAUGAUUAUAUUUGUAGUAAACGAAGUAUACAAAAUGUGCAAGAAAUAUGCACAAACAGAAAACAAACAUCAAACAGAUAUACAGAAAUGAUACCUAUGGACACACAAGACAUUUAUAAGACACGAUUGACAACACCAGUAAUUAUUGUUACGGUAACUGUUAUUUAACAGCUGAAUGAAAAUUAAAAUUGUGAACCUUAAAAGAACAAACAUCAAUCCCGAACCAUAUGUUAGAAAUAAAGUUAGAAUCCUUUGAAUAAUUCUAAUUAAUUUUGCUACAAAAGUAUACGUACAUUUAAGGGGCGGCCAGAUGUCUAGAAGUGACAUUUCUUUAAUCUAGAAAUUUGAGCUUUGAAGCAAAGGAGUAGGUCCGGUAAGGACCGAUUUUGGCCUCAAAUUUUAGGUUCAUCUAACAAAAGAUUUUGGAC
rnacentral:lncRNA from 1 species